rnacentral:rRNA from 1 species
CCUACGGGAGGCAGCAGUGAGGAAUAUUGGUCAAUGGCCGGAAGGCUGAACCAGCCAAGCCGCGUGAGGGAGGAAGGCGCAGAGCGUCGCAGACCUCUUUUGCCGGGGGACAAAAGGCCGGACUCGUCCGAUCCUGAGGGUACCCGGAGAAAAAGCAUCGGCUAACUACGUGCCAGCAGCCGCGGUAAUACGUAGGGGGCAAGCGUUAUCCGGAAUUAUUGGGCGUAAAGAGUGCGUAGGUGGUUACUUAAGCGCGGGGUUUAAGGCAAUGGCUCAACCAUUGUUCGCCCUGCGAACUGGGUUAC